GAAAACUGUAAACUCGGAUAUUGAAUGGAUUCUGGAAUGAGUCAUUCAUUAAACGUAAGGCAUCAGGAUGAGUCGGCGGCGGAUUAGGCAGUUGGCGGUGUAACGGACCACCAAACUUAAGAUCCGUAGGGGCCCUGAGAGGGGUAGCCCCGAGAGGGACACUGAAAUACUGGUCCCAGCUCCACGGAGUGCAGCAGGCGCGAAACCUCCACAAUGCGCGAAAGCGUGAUGGGGGGAUCCCGAGUGCUUACAUUUAUGUAAGCUUUUGCCAAGAGUUCACAUCUUGGAGAAUAAGUGGUGGGUAAGACCGGUGCCAGCAGCCGCGGUAACCCCGGCGCCACGAGUGGCAAUCACUUUUAUUGGGCCUAAAGCAUUCGUAGCAGGUUUGAAAAAUCCUUUGUGAAAUUGUUGAACUCAAUACAACAGCGUGCAGAGGACACUUUCAGACUAGAGACUGGGAGGAGUUGGGGGUAUGCCUGGGGGAGCGGUUAAAUGUGAUAAUCCUAGGUAGACCACCUGUGGCGAAGGCGCCCAACUAGAACAGUUCUGACUGUGAGGGAUGAAAGCUAGGGGAGCGAUCCGGAUUAGAUACCCGAGUAGUCCUAGCUGUAAACACUGUGAGCUAGGUGUCGCAUAUUCUACGAGAAUAUGCGGUGUCGAAAAGAAGUUGAUAAGCUCACCGCCUGGGAAGUACGGUCGCAAGACUGAAACUUAA
rnacentral:rRNA from 1 species